rnacentral:rRNA from 1 species
UACGUAGGGUGCGAGCGUUAAUCGGAAUUACUGGGCGUAAAGCGUGCGCAGGCGGUUCGUUGUGUCUGCUGUGAAAUCCCCGGGCUCAACCUGGGAAUGGCAGUGGAAACUGGCGAGCUUGAGUGUGGCAGAGGGGGGGGGUGGAAUUCCGCGUGUAGCAGUGAAAUGCGUAGAGAUGCGGAGGAACACCAAUGGCGAAGGCAGCACUCUGGGACGUGACUGACGCUGAGACGCGAAAGCGUGGGAGCAAACAGG